rnacentral:rRNA from 1 species
CAUGCAAGUCGAACGGAAAGUGCUCUUCGGAGUGACUCGAGUGGCGAACGGGUGAGUAACACGUGGGUGAUCUGCCCUGCACUUUGGGAUAAGCCUGGGAAACUGGGUCUAAUACCGAAUAGGACCGCAUGCUUCAUGGUGUGUGGUGGAAAGCUUUUGCGGUGUGGGAUGGGCCCGCGGCCUAUCAGCUUGUUGGUGGGGUAAUGGCCUACCAAGGCGACGACGGGUAGCCGGCCUGAGAGGGUGUCCGGCCACACUGGGACUGAGAUACGGCCCAGACUCCUACGGGAGGCAGCAGUGGGGAAUAUUGCACAAUGGGCGCAAGCCUGAUGCAGCGACGCCGCGUGAGGGAUGACGGCCUUCGGGUUGUAAACCUCUUUCAGUAGGGACGAAGCGUAAGUGACGGUACCUAUAGAAGAAGCACCGGCCAACUACGUGCCAGCAGCCGCGGUAAUACGUAGGGUCCGAGCGUUGUCCGGAAUUACUGGGCGUAAAGAGCUCGUAGGUGGUUUGUCGCGUUGUUCGUGAAAACUCACA